rnacentral:lncRNA from 1 species
GCUUUCCAAAAUGCCCUAGGAAGAACAAGCUCAAGAGAAAUUACCCAGCAGGUGACAAGAAAGAGAAAGGAUAUUUCCAAUAAAAGAGAAAAUCUGAUCAUCUCAGAUCAACUUAUUCACUGCUGUGUUACCAAUUUGGAUCCAAACUGAUAGGCAGGCAUUUUAAGUUGGGCUUUGUGAACUUAUGUGCUAAGUCAACACAUAUAUGUGGUCUUCUGCUGUUUUGUUAAGAAUCUUGUGUUCAAAAGUUGGAUUCCUAUGGAAUUAAUAAAGCAACAGCCACUCAGGGAAAUAAUUCACACAAGAAGGUUUUGCACCAAGUUGAACCAUGAGAUGGUUAAUGAUACAAGAAAUAAGAACACUAUUCAACAUCCAAGUUGAAGUGCAUGUACAUAGAGAACAUGGAAUGAGAAAGGAUCUCCUAUAUCAUUGUAUCGAGCCUCUGGAAACCCCAAAGCCAGCCAAUAAAAUACUUCAACACAGAAACAGAAGCCAGACCAAAAGGAAAAAUGCAAAUAUACAAAAACAUCCAGCCGCUAAAAUGUAUUGGUCGGACAGCGUUCAGCCACACAACACUUGGAUAGUCAGAAAUUACAAAAAGAGAAGUACAAAUAUGGAAAGUACCUACCUGAGUACCAAUGAAGCAAACUUGGAUAUUUCAAAGACGAUGUUUCAUUUCUCUUUUGUCUGAGAUCAAUGCACUCAUUCGGCUUAUUGCUCAGUCGUACCACUACAGGGCAUGUACAGGAACUGCACCAUAAGAUUUGAUUAUUCUAUUCUACUCGUGGACUGAGUACCAAAUCUACACAUACACAAAAAUCCUUACAACAGAGAUUCAAUCCUUACAAUAAAACCCAGUGAAUAGGCA